CAAAUUUCUAUUUGUGCCAGUGGGGCGGCCUGGCGAGACCGCAAUUGCUCUACCCCACAGAUUGACGAGCCCUCAGAUGCCGAUUUACUGUACAUGGCAGCCACGCUGGAGCCGAGGCACAUCUGGAGUGGAAUCCCAGUAGGAAAGAGUCAAAAUUCCUCAUGAACCACCUUGGCCAGGUCUCAGCCUUCUAACCCAGGGAAGCACUGGGCAUUGCCUCCCUAUGGCUGUUUAAAAACCACUUGAGGUGAAAUACAAUAAGGAGGGUACUGACUGCGUGGCAGAGGUGUUGGUCAACUUGGAAAGACUGAACUGCACAUCUCCAAGAGGUGUCCACAAGUGACUCUGGUCGUCACAGUCAAUGCUGAGCUGCUGAAAGAGAAACCAGGAUUGCAGAUAAGUAUCCAUAGUUUAGCAUCAGAUCAAUACCUUCACUAUAGAAAUGUAGAGUUUGGUACACAGUCAAAUCUCAAGUUUCCUUAUCCUGGAUUUGGUAUGUCAGAGUUGGAUAAUUCCAUUCAGCAGAAACGCAGAUAUUACAAAACCUCCAUGAACCAAACAUUGAACUGCACUGCUUUUUGAAAAACUUAGUACACAGAUUUCUGUAGAACACAGGAGCAACGACAGGAAAGGCAUGGCCUGGGGUUUCUGAGUUAUACAAAACAUAAUGCUGUGCCAAAAACAGUGGUGUUAGUGGCACAUGAAAAAUGAUCAGUCUACAGUCCCAAUAAUACUCCACGAAUAAUUGGAAACUUUGUGCACAAGUAGAAUUUUGGAAGUCGUAUGAACAUAAGAAUUACAAUUUUUUAUCAGAACCAAAUCCUGCCUUGGUGAGCAUUUUGUCUUCAGUACUUCCUAUUCUUUUUCUUUGUUAUUCUACUUGCAUCUGUUAUGUCCGGAAUUGUCAGUAAAAUCAAGACUCUACUGCCUAAGCACAUGGUCAAAGCCAUUCUCUGCCCCAAAGAAUUUACAGUCCGAAACCGGGAGAAUCUCCACACUGUUGUAGCUUACCCUAUUGCCAUAAAAUGAUCUAUCUUAAAAGCUCAUCUGGCAAAAUAUCCUAAACAUCUACUUAAGAGGUGCUGAGUGACCUCAUUUAAACCAAUCUUUAGGAUUAGGCACAGUGUUUGUUUAAAGUAUUUUGAGAUCCUGAGAUAUAAGAGGCUUUGAAACUGCAAAGAUUUUUUAACUGGCUUAAUAUGUUUUUGUGUUUAUUUGUAGAUGUAGAACUUACACAGCAUAAAAUUUGACAGUUAAGACUAGUCAUGAAAUUUCUCCAGGAAAAUAAAAACCUGUUAACAAUUUGCUGACAUUCAUGAAAACCCCUAAAUGCUUCCAAAUCUGCUUCCAGGUAUUCAUAUGCAAGAAUUUGAAGUCUUUUGCAUUGCAAAUAUUAGCAAAUGCUUUUUAAAUCACGCUUGCU